CCCUUAGAUGCUCUGGGCCGCACGCGCGCUACACUGGUCGAUGCAACGAGUUUCUUUCCUUGGCCGACAGGCCUGGGCAAUCUUUGAACAUCGAUUGUGAUCGGGAUAGAUUCUUGUAAUUUUUGAUCUUAAACGAGGAAUUCCUAGUAAACGCAAGUCAUCAGCUUGCAUUGAUUACGUCCCUGCCCUUUGUACACACCGCCCGUCGCACCUACCGAUUGAAUGGUCCGGUGAAAUCUCCGGACUGGCGUGAGUCGGAGCAAUCUGACAAACACCGGAAAGUUGAUUAAACCUUACCAUUUAGAGGAAGGUGAAGUCGUAACA
rnacentral:rRNA from 1 species